AUGAACGCUAGCUACAGGCUUAACACAUGCAAGUCGAGGGGCAUCAGGAAGAAAGCUUGCUUUCUUUGCUGGCGACCGGCGCACGGGUGAGUAACACGUAUCCAACCUGCCCUUUACUCGGGGAUAGCCUUUCGAAAGAAAGAUUAAUACCCGAUAGCAUAAUGAUUCCGCAUGGUUUCAUUAUUAAAGGAUUCCGGUAAAGGAUGGGGAUGCGUUCCAUUAGGUUGUUGGUGAGGUAACGGCUCACCAAGCCUUCGAUGGAUAGGGGUUCUGAGAGGAAGGUCCCCCACAUUGGAACUGAGACACGAUCCAAACUCCUACGGGAGGCAGCAGUGAGGAAUAUUGGUCAAUGGGCGCUAGCCUGAACCAGCCAAGUAGCGUGAAGGAUGAAGGCUCUAUGGGUCGUAAACUUCUUUUAUAUAAGAAUAAAGUGCAGUAUGUAUACUGUUUUGUAUGUAUUAUAUGAAUAAGGAUCGGCUAACUCCGUGCCAGCAGCCGCGGUAAUACGGAGGAUCCGAGCGUUAUCCGGAUUUAUUGGGUUUAAAGGGAGCGUAGGUGGACUGGUAAGUCAGUUGUGAAAGUUUGCGGCUCAACCGUAAAAUUGCAGUUGAUACUGUCAGUCUUGAGUACAGUAGAGGUGGGCGGAAUUCGUGGUGUAGCGGUGAAAUGCUUAGAUAUCACGAAGAACUCCGAUUGCGAAGGCAGCUCACUGGACUGCAACUGACACUGAUGCUCGAAAGUGUGGGUAUCAAACAGGAUUAGAUACCCUGGUAGUCCACACAGUAAACGAUGAAUACUCGCUGUUUGCGAUAUACAGUAAGCGGCCAAGCGAAAGCAUUAAGUAUUCCACCUGGGGAGUACGCCGGCAACGGUGAAACUCAAAGGAAUUGACGGGGGCCCGCACAAGCGGAGGAACAUGUGGUUUAAUUCGAUGAUACGCGAGGAACCUUACCCGGGCUUAAAUUGCAGUGGAAUGAUGUGGAAACAUGUCAGUGAGCAAUCACCGCUGUGAAGGUGCUGCAUGGUUGUCGUCAGCUCGUGCCGUGAGGUGUCGGCUUAAGUGCCAUAACGAGCGCAACCCUUAUCUUUAGUUACUAACAGGUCAUGCUGAGGACUCUAGAGAGACUGCCGUCGUAAGAUGUGAGGAAGGUGGGGAUGACGUCAAAUCAGCACGGCCCUUACGUCCGGGGCUACACACGUGUUACAAUGGGGGGUACAGAAGGCAGCUAGCGGGUGACCGUAUGCUAAUCCCAAAAUCCUCUCUCAGUUCGGAUCGAAGUCUGCAACCCGACUUCGUGAAGCUGGAUUCGCUAGUAAUCGCGCAUCAGCCACGGCGCGGUGAAUACGUUCCCGGGCCUUGUACACACCGCCCGUCAAGCCAUGGGAGCCGGGGGUACCUGAAGUACGUAACCGCAAGGAUCGUCCUAGGGUAAAACUGGUGACUGGGGCU
rnacentral:rRNA from 1 species